GGAUAAUUGCAUUGUUUCUGGUGACCUAGAUGGGACCUCGAUGAGAGAGACCGGAGGAGUCGGGGACCUGAUCGGUUCCAGCAGGCACCGAGGAUUUCUUGGGGAUACCCAUCGAUCCCCGAUCC